AUCCAACUGACCAGUUCGUAAUAGAAUGAAACGCGCGUCCUGGAU
rfam:Schistosoma margrebowiei strain Zambia genome assembly, scaffold: SMRZ_contig0000804